rnacentral:rRNA from 1 species
AGGACGAACGCUGGCGGCGUGCCUAACACAUGCAAGUCGAGCGGAGAUAGACUGAUGGUAACUGAAGCUUAUCUUAGCGGCGGACGGGUGAGUAACACGUGGGCAACCUGCCUUGGAGUGGGGGAUAACACCGGGAAAUCGGUGCUAAUACCGCAUAACAUACACAUACUGCAUGGUGAGUGUAUCAAAGGAGCAAUCCGCUUUAAGAUGGGCCCGCGGCUGAUUAGCUAGUUGGUAAGGUAACGGCUUACCAAGGCGACGAUCAGUAGCCGACCUGAGAGGGUGACCGGCCACACUGGAACUGAGACACGGUCCAGACUCCUACGGGAGGCAGCAGGUGGGGAAUAUUGCGCAAGUGGGGGAAACCCUGACGCAGCAACGCCGCGUGGAGGAAGAAGGUCUUCGGAUUGUAAACUGCUUUUCCAGGGGGAGAAACUUUCCGAUGCAUCGGGAUUUGACGGUACCCUGGGAAUAAGCAUCGGCUAACUCCGUG